rnacentral:snoRNA from 1 species
AGCCUCCUGAUGCUUCCCACAGGCUGUGUUCUUGGUACCGAUGUAUAGAAAGAGGAGGUACACUACACCCACCCCAUACAUACCUAAGCUCAGGCCUGAUUAUGAUUGGAGGGCAUGG